GGUACUUGUUAUCCAGAGAUCAACAAGAAGAUUGAAAAAAUUGUUAACAAGAAGAAAUGUUUUCCAGACUAUCAUGAUGUCAAGGAGAUCAUCAUCAGUGUCAAUAGAAGCAAGUCACUCCACAUGACGACAUCAGCCAUAGACCACUGGUCGAAAGUUGUAUUUGAGGAGGUAGGGCGCAAUCUCCAGGAGAGGAGAGGGCAGGAUUUCAUUUCCUCCUUGCUGUGGCACCUCCCUUCAGGGCACAGCAAGAAAGUUAGGAGCAGUUUUUGCAGUCAUAAAUUGUGAAUCUCAAGAUGGAGCCCUGGACAGUAGCAUUAUCAGUGAAGAAAGCAGAGAAUCAAGUCUACCUUCAUU